GAUGUUGAUACCUUUCGACUGGGUUGAGUAAGUAAUCAAUAGAUGGCGCUGCUAUUGAAAUCAACGAACGUGUCAUAUAAGCUACAUUUUAACAGCAUAAUUAUCACGUAUUGUUGACGCUAUAAAAUUAAUUAAAUUCAGGCACAAGAAUAUCAAGAACAGUGUAACGAACGUCUUCAAGAGAAUAUCAUGAGAACAUGAGCAGCAGGAGAACGAGACAUAGCCACAGUAGGAGUACAGGAACAAUAAUUUCAAUUUAUACACUCAAAAAUGCCACCGAAAAGAUCUAACCUCAACAACGCGAGCAGCAAAGGGUCUCGACGCAAACGUGUUGAAAGAGCUCAGCAAAUACCAGAACAAAUCAAAACAAGAAAUGCAGCUCAAAGAAUCAGGACUGCAGAAAGUCGUGCACAAGAAUCUCAAGAACGGCGUGACGAACGUCUGCAACAGAAUAUUACGAGAACAAGAGCGGCACGAGAACGAAACAUAGCUACAGUACGAGUACUAGGUCGACAAAGGCAACGAAUCAGCCGUUCAUUAACACGUGCAUCAUUCGUUCGGCUUGCCUUUGAAUAUGCACCAGAUAUUAACUACUCAGCGCAUUCAAAAAUUGCUAUCGGUGGAAUGGAUAAAGUAUAUCAAUAUUGUCAGGCAUUGAAAUUUCGGAAUGAAGCAGCCGGCAUGUGCUGCGCAUCAGGAAAAGUUGUACUGUCACCUCUACCCGCUCCGCCGGAGCCUUUAUUAUCCCUUCUUACUGGCAAUUCAGAUGAUUCCAAAUUAUUUUUGCGUAAGAUACGCAAAUUUAAUUCUUGCUUCCAAAUGACGUCAUUUGGGGCAACUAAAAUUUGCGAUCGUGCAUCCGAUGGACGUAAUUUUGAAACUACAUUCAAAAUUCAAGGCCAGGUGUACCAUAAAAUCGGAUCCUUGAUGCCAAUGCCUGAUAACCAUCCGAAAUUUCUUCAAAUUUAUUUUAUGGGCGAUCAUGAAGAGCGCGUGACGACUCGGUGCCUGUAUAAUUUUAUUGAACAAGCAGACGGAAGAGCAAUUGUGAUAUUAUUGGAAAAUUUUUUAGAAGAUCACAAUCAACUAAUUCAAUUGAUCAAAAGAGUUUCGCCACGACUGCAAAAUGACAAUUAUUAAAUCGUCAUAAAAGCCGACAAAGUACCAUUAGGUGAACAUGCUGGUAGAUUCAACGCUCCAACUGUUGAUGAGGUUGCUGUUAUCAUGGUUGGUGAUCCAGUUGACAAAAGAUCUAUAAAAAUUACACGGCGAGACCACACUGUCAAUACGAUUUCGGAUCUACACCGUUCAUAUGACGCACUACAGUAUCCAUUGAUAUUUUGGCAAGGACAAGAUGAAUAUCACCUUAAUAUCAAACAGUAUGAUCCAAAUACCGGUGAUUACAGUAAUAAACAAGAGAGAACGCUAUAGUCGAGU